CCUACGGGGGGCAGCAGUGGGGAAUAUUGGACAAUGGGGGGAACCCUGAUCCAGCCAUGCCGCGUGUGUGAAGAAGGCCCUCGGGUUGUAAAGCACUUUCAGUGAGGAAGAACGCCUGGUGGUUAAUACCCAUCAGGAAAGACAUCACUCACAGAAGAAGCACCGGCUAACUCCGUGCCAGCAGCCGCGGUAAUACGGAGGGUGCGAGCGUUAAUCGGAAUUACUGGGCGUAAAGCGCGCGUAGGUGGCUUGAUAAGCCGGUUGUGAAAGCCCCGGGCUCAAACUGGGAACGGCAUCCGGAACUGUCAAGCUAGAGUGCAGGAGAGGAAGGUAGAAUUCCCGGUGUAGCGGGGAAAUGCGGAGAGAUCGGGAGGAAUACCAGUGGCGAAGGCGGCCUUCUGGACUGACACUGACACUGAGGUGCGAAAGCGUGGGUAGCAAACAGGAUUAGAUACCCGGGUAGUC
rnacentral:rRNA from 1 species